rnacentral:rRNA from 1 species
UUUGGUACCUUACCGAAGAAGUCCCGGCAAACUCCGUGCCAGCAGCCGCGGUAAUACGGAGGGGGCAAGCGUUGUUCGGAAUUAUUGGGCGUAAAGGGCAUGUAGGCGGUUUGGUAAGUUAAAGGUGAAAUACCAGGGCUUAACCCUGGGGCUGCUUUUAAUACUGCAGGACUAGAGUCCGGAAGAGGAUAGCGGAAUUCCUAGUGUAGAGGUGAAAUUCGUAGAUAUUAGGAGGAACACCAGUGGCGAAGGCGGCUGUCUGGUCCGGUACUGACGCUGAGGUGCGAAAGCGUGGGAGCAAACAGAUUAGUCAUUCCC